GACGAACGCUGGCGGCGUGCCUAAUACAUGCAAGUUGAGCGCUGAAGGUUGGUACUUGUACCAACUGGAUGAGCAGCGAACGGGUGAGUAACGCGUGGGGAAUCUGCCUUUGAGCGGGGGACAACAUUUGGAAACGAAUGCUAAUACCGCAUAAAAACUUUAAACACAAGUUUUAAGUUUGAAAGAUGCAAUUGCAUCACUCAAAGAUGAUCCCGCGUUGUAUUAGCUAGUUGGUGAGGUAAAGGCUCACCAAGGCGAUGAUACAUAGCCGACCUGAGAGGGUGAUCGGCCACAUUGGGACUGGGACACGGCCCAAACUCCUAAGGGAGGCAGCAGUAGGGAAUCUUCGACAAUGGACGAAAGUCUGAACGAGCAAAGCCGCGUGAGUGAAGAAGGUUUUCGGAUCGUAAAACUCUGUUGGUAGAGAAGAACGUUGGUGAGAGUGGAAAGCUCAUCAAGUGACGGUAACUAACCAGAAAGGGACGGCUAACUACGUG
rnacentral:rRNA from 1 species